GGUGAAGCCAUUUGUCAUGUGAUGGAUUCUGAUUACCAGGGCCCCUGAAGUCUUUUUUUUUUUUGUCUCAUCUGCGUACAGCCAAAACUCAUUGAACGACAUGGUGGCUGCAAAUUUUACCAAACCCUCUAGGCACAAAGAAAGAGAACUUCUGGAGUGCAUGAGUACCCCCCUGGCCCACAUAUCACCCAGACCAUUCUGGAGUGAAUGUAAGAAGUUUCUGCAGUCAAUAAAGCAAAAUACCCUUAACCCACCUGGCAGAACACAGGCAAGACUCAGCCAACAUACAGCACCGACCUGUUUGCUGGGAGGACUAUAGAUAACCCACCAGGACAUCCUUUCUUAAGAAGAUCUUCAUGUGCUGGGCGUUGGUCUUCAGACUUUCUUUGACUGUUCUAACUGGUUUGGGAUUGAAGUCUGCUGUUAUAUGAGACACACUACUGGCUGUCCCUCUGCAGAUAUUUCCAGAGAAGCUCAAGUGAGGAAGGAGCACCCUACUGAGAGCAAGUGAUACCUAUCCCAUGGGCUAGAGACUGGAUUAUAAAGGAAAUAGAAAAAGAUGGCUGAUCACCAACAUUCAUCUCUGACUCUCCCUGCUCCACCUAGAAGAAGCAGUAGUGUUUCCACCACCGUGCCUCCCCGCCCCACCCCUGCCAUGGAUAGUGCCCAACUGGAACUGUAAGCCAGCUGCUUCAAGUCAGAUAUUUGCCAGUAGCAACAAGAAAACCAACUAAAAGAGAAAAUUGUCACAAAUUAUAUACAUAUGAAGACAGUGUUUGGAGACAGAAUAGAGCACAGGCUAUGCAGAUCCGCUUGUAAGAAUUCAGAAGGAUGGCCUGAGUGGUGGUAGUGCACACCUUUGAUCCCUGCACUCUUGUGGCAGAGACAGUUGGAUCUCUGUGAAUUUGAGGCCAGCCUGGUCUACAGAGCUAGUCCUGGGACAGCUAGGGCUGUUACACAGAGAAACUCUGUCUUGAAAAACAAACAAACAAGCAAACAAACAAACAAACAAAGAAUUCAGACAGUGCCGAAAUAGCUCAGUUGGGAGUGUUAGACUGAAGAAUUCAGAAUGAUGGGGCUCCCUAGCCCCCAAAAUAACAAUAGUCCGGUUUUCUUCAGGAGGGGAUAUGUCACCCUAAAGUAAAAUACAUAUAAAUAGGAGCUAGCUUUCAUUAAAUGAUAAGAGGAGUUUUAAUCACAUUGGGGAACCUCAAGAUAGAGGUAGGAAAUGGACAGAUGAACAUUAGGAUUAGUUAUUUUGAAGUCUAGAAGAAAAAGUAUAUACCACAAAGAUAAAGGUACUAAAACUAACCAUCAUCUGAAGCAGUAAGUCCAGCUAAAAGAGUCGCCCCCCCCCCCCCCCGCCAAAGAAACAGAAUACCAUGGUGCCUUAAGCUCUUUCUAAGUUAGGGGAACUAGAAUCACUUCUGCAGGUUUACUUUAAAAAGAUAAGUCCCUUGGAAUAACUUGGUUUAUGUUUUGAAAUAGCUGGGAACAUUUUGCUUCAGACUAAAGGGCCAUUUAAAACACUUCAGCUCCUUUAAAGGAUGUUAAAGGGAGUCUUGGAGAAACAAGAUAAUUGCUUGCAGAAACCAAGUGUCAGAAUGGUAAUGUUGCUAACAGGAGACAGAAGGAAAUAAUGAAGGUAUGUUUUUAGUGAAAACUUCUUUGGCACUAUGCCAGAUUCAGGAAAGAACAAGCAAACUCCAAAAUGAGUUUCAAUACAACUCUUUGUAGAAGGCUGGAAGCAAGUGGCUAAAGCAUAAUUAAGGGUAAGUCUCACCACUAUUGGAUUACUACCACAUGGUUCAAAUCUUAGUUUGAAAACUAAACCCGUUCUAUAUGAAAGAAGUGUGAUAUCCCUGGCACUCUGAGCUUGCUAAUGUAGGGGCUAUAAUGCCAGGUGAUGACAGUUCUAUAUAUUAGAUUAUUCAAUGAAAUCUGAAACCAAGCUAAAAUGCAUAAUACACAGUAUUAAGAUUUGUUUAAUCAAAGAGCUUAAAUGUAAAAAUAGAUCUCUAAGAAGUUUCUAGAAAGCAAUCUCCUUUACAAAACACAGAAAACACCACAAAACUAAAUAUGGCAGCCGUAUGUAUUUCAAUCUAAUUAAGGGUGGCUACCUUUGGAAAGGGCAUAGCCUACACUGUAAUAAGAGUACAUGCUUUUGGGGCUAGAUGCAUGAAAUAACCCUGGGGGCUAGCAAGACAGUUUAGCAGGUAAAGGCACUUGCUGCCAAACCUAACAGCCCAAGUUCAAUCCCCAGGGCCCACAUCGUAGAGGGAAAAAACUGUGUCCUUCAAGUUGUCUGCUGACCUCCACUUGCAGGAGAGCAUAUGUGUUUGCACCUGCAUGCUCACACACACACACACACACUAAAUUAAUUAAUUAAUAAACAAAUAACUUACAAAAUAACCCUGGAAGGAUGAAUGGGAAACUGGUUGUCUUUGGGAUGUAAGACAAAGGAGGGAGGAUUUUUUUUGUUUUUUGUUUUUUUUUUUGGAGGGGGGUUGUAUAAUCAUUUGCAUUCUUUUAAUUUAAAUUGUAGGAGUGGAUUGCCAUACUACAGCAAACAGACAAACAAAUCAAUCCCUCUCAAAUAUAAUGGUUAUCUUCAGUAUACUUUCUGAGGUUCAAAGUUCACAUCACUGAUAACUAAGUCAACAUACUUCCAGUGCCAAGCAAUAACCCUUCUCUGGGAUAAUCUUUCCAAUCUUGAGCUUGCAUCACAAUUAAUGGAGAUACAUUUAAAAUGACUGGCUGACUUUGCUGACCAGGUUUUCUGGCUCAGAAAGUCUGGGGGGCAGAGGCUAAGAAUUAUGUCAAAAAGGUUCUCAUGUGCUGCUGCUGCUGGUGGUGUAUUGUGUGCUCAAAGAUGAUCCGUAGGCCAUAAUGCUAAGAUUUCUUUAUUCAGGUAAACACCAGCCCAAAGGCAAGUCAGAGCGUACCCAGAGGCCACAAGCUAGCGUGGCCAGAGAGAAGGGGCCUCCACCUGUUGGUAGCCUCUUAAGAAUUGCCCCGCUUCAUCUUCGACCUCCCCUGACCACGCCCUUAUGGGCGUGGCCAGGCACACCUGUAGGGGCUACUAGGAGGCAGGGCUACAGUGUCUCCCUGCAGUGGUGGUGGUGGUUUGGAGAUCAAAAAAUUUAAAAACUAUGUCAUAAUAGUUACAGCAACAAACAAUCAUAGGUCUGUUGUGGAAUAAUCUUUUCAUACACUAUGAAGUUUGGUUUAAUAAAAAGCUGAAUGGCCAAUAGCUAGGUAAGAAUAUCCAAGGCAGAGAGGAUGCUGGGGGGUGAGGGGAGGUGGAGUCUUGAGGAGUCACCAGCCAGACACAGAGAAAGCAGGAAAGCAACCUGGGCAGAGUAAAGGUAAUAAAGCCACGAGGCAGAAAGUAAAUUAAUAGAAAUGGGUUAAUUUAAGUUACAAGAGUUAGAAACAAGCCUAAGCUAUAGGCUGGGCUUUUAUACUUAAUAAUAAGUCUUCAUGCCAUGAUUAGGGAGCUGGCAGGAGGGACAGCACAAUCCAUCUAUACAGCUCCAUCAAGAAUUUUGUUUGGUUGAUAUUCCUGGCCGGCUCCUUUUUUUUGAAGGGAAAUGGAAGAGGAAUGAAUCUGGGAGAGAGGGCCUGGAUAGAGUGGAGGGAAGGGAAAUUUUAGUUGGGAUGCAAUGUAUGAGAGAAGAAGAAAGGAAAGAAAGAAGGAAGGAAGAAAGAAAGGAAGGAAGGAAGGAAGGAAGGAAGGAAGGAAGGAAGGAAGGAAGGGAGUUCAAAUUCUGCCCAGUGGUGGUGGCAGAGAUGGUGAUGACAGCCCACGCCUUUAAUCCUAACACUUGGUAGGCAGAGGCAGGUGGGUCUCUGUGAGUUUAAGGCCAGCCUAGAACUACAGAGCUAGUUCCAGGACAGCCAAGACUAUGCAGAGAAAGAAUUCCAGAUCCCAGAGCAGAAAUAAAAAUGCAUGAUCAACUAGGAACCACCAUGACGUAAGAAACAUAAGCCAAAGUUGAACUCUGAAAUGUAGUGUGAUCUGAAGAUAGCAUCUCAAUGAUCGUUCACACUGCCUCCCAGAAGGUCAGUAAGCUGACACCAUGCCAUCUCCACUAUUUAUUAUGAAUACUCCCGAGUAUAAUAUGCUGCUCUGCCACCAGCAUGCUUUGACUCUAGAUCUGAAAAAUCAAAUUUUCUUCUUGAUGGGUGAUCAUUUAAAUGUCUGUCCCAGGGCUGAAUUGUGUAGGAGGUUUUGAACAAAUUUGAUAUUCCUUGUAUUUAUUUCUCACUAGCUUUUACUCAAAUUUAGAUCCAUCAGUGUUAGUAAACAAUUUACAAUAUCCAGAUGGUGAAUUAAAAACAUAAGAAUACUGGUGUAGAUUUAAGGAGGGGCCUUACCUAGUUAUGAAGGUGUGUGUCUGAUAUCCUCACACUUGGUAAAUGGAGGCAGGAGGGCCAGGUGUUCAAGGACAGCCUACACAACAAAGUGAUUUCAAACAACAGAGGACAUCAUGAGACCUUUAACCUCAGCACUUGAAAGCAGAGGCUGGUAGAGCUCUAUGAGUUUGAGGUCAGCCUGGCCUAUAUAGUGAGUUUCACAACAGCUUGUUUCAAAAGACAAAACAAAAACAAGCAAACAAAGAAUCCAAAUGAAACAAACUUGGUAGUGUGUACAGUAACUAGCAUUCUUAUAUAUUGCCAAUGGGGUUACAUAUUAUGUUAAACACACUGAAAACCUGUUUGUCAAGGUUUACUAAAGCCACGUAUAUAUCUAUUCUGGGACCCAAGUUCAUAUGCAAAAAUGAUGCUUUCAUCCAUCAAAAAGCAGGCAGAAGAAUGUUCCCAAAAUAUUCAAAGCAGUCAUAUUCAUGAUAAAAACAAAACUGGAAACAACCCGAAUGGAUAUCAAAAGUAGUCAAUUAGCUGGAAAUGUACCUCAGUAGUAUGGCACUUUCAUAGCAGGUGCUGAGACCUUGAGUUUAAUUCUUAGGAAUACAAAAAUAAAACAGAUAAAAGAGUUAAAUACGUUGAGGUGUAUUCAGGCCAUGAAAUAUGCUGUAAACGAAUGACGAGGAAUGGACACCUGCAGGGUUCCAUGUAACAAAGUAUAUGGAUCUUACAGAGAAAAGGUUUAGCAGUAGAAUUCAAGCAGACCCCCCAUUUCUACCCUACGUCUUCCUGUGUACUUCUGCCACCUCUAAAUUACUAUAUGUAAUAGAAUGUUAACGUCAUGUAAACACUCGUUAACUCCAUAUUGUCUGGAGACAAUAACAAAGUAGUCUGUAUGUGUUUUGUGCUACACAAUAUUUUAAAAUAAUUUCAUUACUUUGUUGAAUUUUUAGAUCUGUAUAUAGUUACAUCAAGAGCUAAAUAGAUGAUUCUAUUCAUCAUCUAUCUAUCUACCUACCUAUCCAUUCAUCCUUUAUUUUUGCCAUUUAUAGAAACAGACAUAACCUUGAUGAAAUCCCUCCAAAGUUAGCCAGAGCAAUAGCCCCCUGGGUAACAGUAUGACAGAACCUUUAAGAUGCUGGAAUAUUCUGUAUUUUGUUUAGACAAGUAGGUACAAAUAAAAACAUAUUCAGGUAUACAGGUGCAAUUUAUGCAUUUUAUUUGUGUGUGUUAUACCUCAAUAAAAACAAGCAGCAAAGCCAAUCUUUCUAAUUAAUACUGCGAAACACAUAUUUCUAUGGUAAAUGAUUGCAAAUUUGGUUUGGUUAAAAACAAUGAGAAGUACUGAGCAUUAGUCCAGGCAGAGGGAGCCCCCUGACUUUGCUAAAUGAGGAAAUGACAUGGCAAAACUAACUAUACUUUACUCAUGGCUCAUGUGCCACAGAUACUCAGUGGAACAUUUGGGAGCAUAAUUAAUAAGUUUUAUAUACUGAAUACUCUGUCUCUUAAGAAAUACUUGCCUCUGGUGGCUUUAAAUUUGUGAGUCAGACCCUGGAGGAAAUGGGCAUGGAACCAUCCUCCCCCACCCCUGCCACUCCUACCCAGCAUGUCUACUGACC
rnacentral:lncRNA from 1 species